rnacentral:rRNA from 1 species
UACGUAGGUGGCAAGCGUUGUCCGGAUUUACUGGGCGUAAAGAGCGCGCAGGCGGUCGGAUAAGUCGAGUGUGAAAGCCCCUGGCUCAACCAGGGAAGGUCAUUCGAUACUGUUCGACUCGAAGGCAGGAGAGGGAAGUGGAAUUCCGGGUGUAGUGGUGAAAUGCGUAGAUAUCCGGAGGAACGCCAGUGGCGAAGGCGACUUUCUGGCCUGUUCUUGACGCUGAGGCGCGAAGGCUAGGGGAGCAAACGGG